rnacentral:pre_miRNA from 1 species
UACUCUAUCAUAGCUGUAAAUGAGUGUUUUUUUGGUUGAAUAGCUGUAAACAAAUGUACGAAAUGUCAAUCAAACAAACCCAAAUUUUAGUAUAUGAUGAAGUAG